AAGGCACUGCCAAUCUCCUUUGGAUGAUGUACUCUGACUGAAUGUCCCCACCAUGGCUCUGCAGAUGGAUCAGUCCCCACUACACUGACCAGACCCUCGGGCAUGGCUAGUCUUGAGCAGAGAAUUAGCCUUGCUGCCCUCGCCGCUGUGCUGUCGCCUGAAUCAUGAGAGAGGACAGCCUCCUGUGGUCGCCCAGGACAUGGGAGGCAGGAAUCAAACUGAUUAUCAAGUAGCACUCCAAUUCUUUGACCGUUGGAUUACAGAAUGUGCGCUGGAUCUUUACUCUGUUGGAUUUCCUGUUACUUGCUCCCCAGAGUCCAGACCUAGGAAUUAGUUGCCCAAGGGAGUUUUUGUCUGCAGAACCCUGAGUCAUUCUGUGGGUGACUGGCCACACUUGAGCGGAGGAUCCCAGAAUCGGAUCUGGGGUCAACCUAGGUUCCUCCAGGAGCAGAGCAGCAGCAGAGAGGAGAGUGUGCCUUCUUCCUGAAUUCCCGCCUGCAGCCAGAGAGGAGGGGGUGAGGCACACACUGACCCCCUCUCCAGCGUCUGCCCUGUGUCAGACCUUCCUUCCACCAGGGCAUGGACCCGGUGUGGGGAGAAAAAGGACAGUGUUCUCCCUUUGCAUUAAGACUGAGAAGUUCCGCCAGCUCCGUGGAAGCCUGUUCCCCUGGGCUGGGUGUGAGCUGUGCUCUGGAACGGUGGAGAGUGCACUUCCUGUACCUCCCACCAUCAGCCGAGGGCUGCGGGGUUUGUCCCUCCUUGUCCCCUCCUUGUCCCUGGCUCAGCUCUCAGGUAGAAGUAGUUCCUGUCUGUGAUCUCUCGCUUGGUAUCGUGGGACCAAGAGCAGCUUCCUAAAUCCUCCCAGCAUGCAGGCUUCUCAUGCUGCGAUAGAGCCGACCCACGGGAACUCGCCUUGGAAUUCAAGUUGCUUAAUGGACAGUAUUUAACGAGGUGGCUGGACCUUCAAAAAAACCAAAAACUUCUUUAUCACUAUUGAUUUUUUUAAUGACCAGUCCUCUUCCCUAAGACUAGGGCAUCCCAGUGCCGGGGGGCGGGGAGAUCUCUUUUCUCUCUGGGCCAAGGGAGAGGCAUAGAACAGUGUGGGUGGGACCUGGGGAGAGGAGACCCCCAGGAGCCUGGUGCAAGACAAAGCCAGCACUGCAGGGGCUCCAUAGGAAGCCACAGGGGUGGCCCCCAAUCCUGGAGGAACCUCUUAAACCAGCAGGAACAGACAUGAGAGUGGCCAAGGAGUCGCCCAGGCUGUGGGUUCCUCAGCAGGAGCCUCCAGAUGAAAGACUAAGAAUUUCCUCCAUGAGUCCAAAGCUGCCGUGGAUGACCCCUUGGCACCCUGCAGCCCCAACUCCACCAUGUUGUCAUUGGGCCUGUGCCACCUGCACACCUGUCCCCACACCUGUCUCUGCAGCUGGAGGCGUCCAGCGGGUCUCAUGUAUACAGAGACAUCUGAGGAGUGGCUGAGAGCUGCUGGCAUCCCAGCGGCAGAGCUGGCUCAUAAUUCUCCUAAUCCCCGCGGCGUGUCUCCCAGCACACCCCACCUGAACCUGGGAGGCUGGCUUGAAGUGGAGCCCUCUAGUCCUGCCUCCCUCUCCGCUCUGCUGCAAGGUAGGGAUGCCUUACCCGAGAAUCUGCUGCACCUUGCAAAUCAUGCAAAAGCCUCUCCCUUCUCCAACACACACGUGGCAAGCAUACCCACAAAAUCACACAAAAUAAAUAUGCCCACACAACAUACGACAGACACGCAAAAUACACAACAUAUACAAU